rnacentral:lncRNA from 1 species
AUUUGUUGAAAAGGUUGAGAGUUGAACUGUACUGUGAAGCAUUUGGUUCUACAGAAAAGAAGGAAGAUGUCAGAUGGACAAAGAUGGGGUGAGUGUGGCCUGUUCUGAAACUUGGAGAGGUGAGCACUGGCAUGGCUGCCUGUUUGUGAGGAACGGGCCAUCAUCAUAUUUAAUAGGAGAACCGAAGGAUGGUCAAAGUAUGGGCUCGAGGAUUAGAGCCUGUGUUAGACUGUCUGCUGUGUCCCUAAGAUGCUAGAACCCACAUGUACCCGGUUAUCUUACUGUAAAAUGGAAAUAGCAAUAGGUAACCUAUUAGUGACAUUCAGUGAGCAAGUAUGCUACCUACCUGGAGAAGGCAAAGGCACAGGCACCCCAUUCCAGUACUCUUGCCUGGAGAAUCCCAUGGGUGGAGGAGCCUGGU